UCUGGUGCCGAUGCGGUUGGGGGACACACCCGUUCCCAUCCCGAACACGACGGUUAAGACCCAAUCGGCCGAUGGUACUAUGCUGGAGACGGCAUGGGAGAGCAGGUGGGUGCCAGAU
rnacentral:rRNA from 1 species